CUGUUUUAUCUUGUAUCCAAACCAAGAAUCAUAUUCCCGAAUCACACAGUCACAAUCUCCUUUUGUCUGUUUCCACUUGCGAAUUGAAAGAGCCAACACAAAGAGAAGAGCUUCUUCUGUAAGAAAAGAUGCAGAAAGACAUGGGAACCGCAGAGGAUCAACAUCUUCCGCAAGGUCAGGAUUAAUCUAAGUGGUCUAUCCUGUUUGUUUUAGGGAUGGAUAUCCAGCUGCAGAAAAAGUCUCUGAACAACCAGGACAAGACGAGAAGAAGAAGCCAAGGUUUUUCGAGACAGAGCAGAAAGGAGACAGAGGCUUCAUUGAAGGAUGUCUCGCUGCACUAUGCUGCUGCUGGAUUUGUGAAAUGUGUUUCUAAGGUAAAGAAGAACACUACAGUGUGUCGAGCUACCUUGUGUAUCUAUUAGUGUGAGAGAUUGCAGGACUAUAUAGUAGACCAAUCUGAAACUUCCUAUACUAUGUGUGUGGCGUUUGUAUGUAUUGUUGUAAGAUUGCAGGACUCUAUAGUAGCUUAAUCUGAAACUUCCUGUACUGUGUGUGGUGUUUGUAUGUAUUGAAAGAUGAUUAUUAUACUAAUAAUGUAAAGGUGGUCAUAUUUUCUGAGU